CGCCUGUUUACCAAAAACAUAGCCUUCAGCUAACAACAAGUAUUGAAGGUGAUGCCUGCCCAGUGACCCCCAAAGUUCAACGGCCGCGGUAUCCUAACCGUGCGAAGGUAGCGCAAUCAAUUGUCCCGUAAAUUGAGACUUGUAUGAAUGGCUAAACGAGGUCUUAACUGUCUCCUGUAGGUAAUCUAUGAAAUUAGUAUUCCCGUGCAAAAACGAGAAUGUGAACAUAAGACGAGAAGACCCUGUGGAACUUUAAAAUCACGACCACCUUACAACCUUACACAGCCCCACUGGGUCCACCCACACAUAAACCCCUGGUCGACAUUUUUCGGUUGGGGCGACCUUGGAGAAAAAAAAAUCCUCCAAACCCACAGACCACAACUCUUCACUAAGACCAACUCCUCAAAGUACCAACAGUAACCAGACCCAAUAUAAUUGAGCAAUGGACCAAGCUACCCCAGGGAUAACAGCGCAAUCUCCUCCAAGAGCCCAUAUCGACAAGGAGGUUUACGACCUCGAUGUUGGAUCAGGACAACCUAAUGGUGCAACCGCUAUUAAGGGUUCGUUUGUUCAACGAUUAACAGUCCUACGUGAUCUGAGUUCAGACCGG
rnacentral:rRNA from 1 species